AUUGAACGCUGGCGGCGUGCUUAACACAUGCAAGUCGAACGAGAACGGGAUAUAGCUUGCUAUAUUUGUCAGCUAAGUGGCGCACGGGUGAGUAAUGUAUAGAUAACCUGCCCUCUAGAAAGGAAUAACAGUUGGAAACGACUGCUAAUGCCCUAUAUGCCUUUAAUACAUAAGUAUGCAAGGGAAACGCUUUAGUGCUAGAGGAUGGGUCUGUAUGGUAUCAGCUUGUUGGUGAGGUAAUGGCUCACCAAGGCUAUGACGCCUAACUGGUUUGAGAGGAUGAUCAGUCACACUGGAACUGAGACACGGUCCAGACUCCUACGGGAGGCAGCAGUGGGGAAUAUUGCACAAUGGACGAAAGUCUGAUGCAGCAACGCCGCGUGGAGGAUGACACAUUUCGGUGCGUAAACUCCUUUUAUAUAGGAAGAUAAUGACGGUACUAUAUGAACAAGCACCGGCUAACUCCGUGCCAGCCGCCGCCGUAA
rnacentral:rRNA from 1 species